UUUCCAUUUUUGUUGAUUUACUCCAUUGCUUUGCCUUGCAAAGCUUCAUUUUUGUUACAAAAAUGGAGAUGAUACUCUAAAACGAAGAACCCCAUUCCCAGAAAUUUAUAAGCGAGAAGCAAAAAGGCAUGACCAAUUAGGGUUUCGUCGGAAAGUUGCCCACAAAGAGGAUUUGAUUUGGGGUUGAGUUUCCGGGAUUGAUAUGACAAUUUUCAUUUUGGUAAUUUGUCCUUGUAUGCGAGUGCUUCAAUUGUAGGGCUUUGUUUAGCUGAAAUGA